UAGGGAAUCUUCGGCAAUGGACGAAAGUCUGACCGAGCAACGCCGCGUGAGUGAAGAAGGUUUUCGGAUCGUAAAACUCUGUUGUUAGAGAAGAACAAGGACGUUAGUAACUGAACGUCCCCUGACGGUAUCUAACCAGAAAGCCACGGCUAACUACGUGCCAGCAGCCGCGGUAAUACGUAGGUGGCAAGCGUUGUCCGGAUUUAUUGGGCGUAAAGCGAGCGCAGGCGGUUUCUUAAGUCUGAUGUGAAAGCCCCCGGCUCAACCGGGGAGGGUCAUUGGAAACUGGGGGACUUGAGUGCAGAAGAGGAGAGUGGAAUUCCAUGUGUAGCGGUGAAAUGCGUAGAUAUAUGGAGGAAGACCAGUGGCGAAGGCGGCUCUCUGGUCUGUAACUGACGCUGAGGCUCGAAAGCGUGGGGAGCAAACAGG
rnacentral:rRNA from 2 species